AUCCAGACUCCUACGGGAGGCAGCAGUGGGGAAUAUUGCACAAUGGGGGAAACCCUGAUGCAGCGACGCCGCGUGAGUGAAGAAGUAAUUCGUUAUGUAAAGCUCUAUCAGCAGGGAAGAAAAUGACGGUACCUGAGUAAGAAGCCCCGGCUAACUACGUGCCAGCAGCCGCGGUAAUACGUAGGGGGCAAGCGUUAUCCGGAUUUACUGGGUGUAAAGGGAGCGUAGACGGCAGUGCAAGUCUGAUGUGAAAGCCCGGGGCUCAACCGCGGGACUGCAUUGGAAACUGCGGGACUGGAGUGUCGGAGGGGUAAGCGGAAUUCCUGGUGUAGCGGUGAAAUGCGUAGAUAUCAGGAGGAACACCGGUGGCGAAGGCGGCUUACUGGACGAUGACUGACGCUGAGGCUCGAAAGCGUGGGGAGCAAACAGGAUUAGAUACCCUCGUA
rnacentral:rRNA from 1 species